rnacentral:piRNA from 1 species
GAGGGGAUGCUGAAGCGGGUGCUGUCU